GAUGAAGAACGUAGUGAAACGCGAUAGGUAAUGUGAAUUGCAGAAUUCCGUGAAUCAUCGAAUCUUUGAACGCACAUUGCGCCCCCUGGUAUUCCGGGGGGCAUGCCUGUCCGAGCGUCAUUGCUGCCCUCAAGCACGGCUUGUGUGUUGGGCCUCCGUCCUCCUCCCGGGGGACGGGCCCGAAAGGCAGCGGCGGCACCGCGUCCGGUCCUCGAGCGUAUGGGGCUUCGUCACCCGCUCUUGUAGGCCCGGCCGGCGCUUGCCGACACAUCAAUCUUUUUUCCAGGUUGACCUCGGAUCAGGUAGGGAUACCCGCUGAACUUAAGCAUAUCAAUAAGCGGAGGA
rnacentral:misc_RNA from 1 species